AACUGACGUCAGACAAGGAUGCAGCGCACAUUUUAAUCAACGUUUGCUGAUUCAACUUCAAAGCAAGGCUAAUCAAGAUGAUCUGGAAAUGAGAUUCUUCCAGGUGAAUUUGGCCAAGAUGAUUUCAGCUUUGCUGCCCAGAUAAGCCAUCUUUUUGCAUACUUCAGCUUAAAAGACCUGAAUAAUAUUCUUCCACUUUCAGCCUAUAGUGUACAUGGUAAACUGAUGGUGACAUUGAAGCGUUUUACUCUUUGCUAAAUGAACUCUCUUUUGUGCUUUCCUUCCAGAUGGCUUCUAAAGAAACCAUGACUUUGCGAAUUAUUCUUACAGAAGCUGAUAUCAGAAAAGUAAAGCUGACAAUGAACGAACUUUGCAAUCUGACCGUUUUGUCAGAGCUCCCUCAGAAGCCAACUGUGAAAAUCAUUCCGGUGAUUGAACUUGUGCCACUCUCUUCAGGUGAAAUGGAGACAUCAAGUGAUAUGUUGAGUGAUGCUACAAGUACUGCAGACACAGUAUUGACCUCGGAAUUACCCCAGGAAAAAAGAAUGCCAUGGCCUGAUUUUGACUCCAAAAUUCUCUGUCGAUGUUGAAUUUGGGCUGCGUCAAGCAAAUUUAAUCUACUUGAAAGAUAGAACGCACCUAAAAGUAACAAAGGAAUUGAAACAUGACAUUCUUUAGAAACUUGCAUAUAAACAACCAUAUAUGCCUGCAAAGCAUACCCAACUACUGAGGAUCUACGAGCUGUUGCAAAGGCUCUGGUCAAUACUCACUGUGAUACUGUGGAUGCACAAACAGUUAGAAAGACAAAAUGGGAAAUUACUGAUCCAAAAUGAGGAGCCUUGGACACACAGACGUCAUGGUUAAUGCUGGGAAAAAAAGGAAGAUACUCUACGAGCAGUGAUCCACCUAACAAGAACAUUAAGAAGGUAAGGAAAGGGGAGGUCAACUACUUACCUGACCUCCCAGAUGGGCAGGAUGCUUCCAGUCUUGAAAUGCUCAGACAGCAGUUGGUGGAUGAAAUGAAGAAAAAAAACCCUGAUGCCGUCUUUAUUAAUCAGAAGAUGGACAUGACUCUGUCUGUGAGGAGAAAGGAUGAUGUGAUCAAAUACUCAACGUUGGUCAGCACUUUUUAGAGAAAGUCAGGUGUAUCAAGAAUUCAGCCGGGUGGUUGGGAAGAACCUUAAGCAAGAAUUUUAUGGGUCUCUUGAUCGUCACUGUCCACAACUGAUUCAGAUCUUCAGGUCAAAGAGAGGUCUUGCCGGGCAAAUUUUGAGCGAUCUUCUGCAGAAAGCCAAGGCUUCUGAUGAUGGAGACUCGUACCAACAUGUGCCAGUUGGGAUCCUCAGCUUAGAAAAUUAAGAUGUGGCUCUGCAACCCCUGCCCCUCCGUCUCCACCCAUCCUUGGUGGGAAUCAUCUUGGAGGGGAAUGUUGUAAUGGACAAAUUAGACAACAUACCCCAGGCCAUGUGUCUUCGUUUCUGCUUUAAAUUGUUAUUGUCUUAAUAUAAAACUGUCAGAAAGAUAUUGCAAGCAUAUCACAUUACUAGAAAAUACAUUUAAUAUGUACUUUUUAAAAGUAUACUUUUAGUGUAUGCACAAAAUGUACUUAACACAACUAUAAUUUGUGCUGCAAUGCAUUUUUAAGUGUAUUUCCAUUAGAAUGGAAACAUAGGGGAACAGACUUCGACACAACACCGGCUCACGAAACUCCAAAUAUCAAACUAAACACUUGAUAUUAACAAGCAAAAGACCUAGGAACCAUGAUAGUGAAAAUGCUAACCCACAUCCUUCAAAAUAAAAGUUUGACUUCAAUACAUAAGAAUUCUUCCAAAAUGUAUGAUGCUGUGUUCAUAUUAUAGCGUAACAACAUCACACUAUAGCCUUCCAACGCCAGCUAACUUUGAGUUGCUGCUGAGUCUCUUUUUCUGUGAUAACUCAUUUUAUAUUGUAAUAUACCACUACAUGCGUUCUUCUUACUAGUCGAGUGAUAAAAGAAGUUUUCUUACCUAAGUCAACCAGUUGAAUUUUGCAAGAUGAGCAAUGUGGAAGAAAAUGAAUAUUCACUGUCUGUAGCCUACUCUCUCUCAAAUUCAAACACACUGUGUCCUAUCAUGUUUCACGGAAAAAAGGUGAAAUAGCCCUUUUCAAGCUUGUCAGAUGUGUGCUUAUAUAAGGUUGCAUGGAAAACCACUUUCCAAAGGAGGUAGAAACUGAUGUUGACAUGACAUGAAGAACUGGUUCUAAAUUAGGCUCUGGCUCAAACUACCUCGGUGGAAAAGGAGCAUAACAGUCUCUAUACUGCACAGUGCUGUAAAAGUGUUUGCUUGAUUUGUGCUGAUGGUUCUUUCUUGAUUGCCUCUAUUUUCACAAUUUGUCACACUGUUUUCAGAUCCUUAUACAACAUAGAUGAGGAGAACGCAAGGAAACAACACUCACUCACUCAAUUUUACCUCUUAUCCAAACUACCUCAUGUCACAGGGAGCCUGUGCCUAUCUCAGGCUUCAUCGGGCCUCAAGGCAGGAUACACCCUGGACGGAGUCUCUCACACACUC